rnacentral:rRNA from 1 species
CAACUUUCAGCAGCGGAUCUCUUGGCUCUCGCAUCGAUGAAGAACGCAGCGAAAUGCGAUAAGUAAUGUGAAUUGCAGAAUUCAGUGAAUCAUCGAAUCUUUGAACGCACCUUGCGCUCCUUGGUAUUCCGAGGAGCAUGCCUGUUUGAGUGUCAU